AAAUGUGCUCACAUGUGUCAUUGACCACCAUCGCAACCUAUUUUUUAAUUUCCCUUUAUUAAUUUUUUUUUUUUGAAAUCUCUCAAGUCCAUCUGAAUCAACAUGAAUUAUAUUUGUUACAAAAGCUAGCUAACAAAAUUUUCCUAAGAUAAGAAGUUUAGCUUGUUCAUUAUUAUUAGUUUUAUAGACUGGAAUGUCUU
rnacentral:lncRNA from 1 species